rnacentral:tRNA from 2 species
GCCCUGUUAGCUCAUCUGGAUAGAGUACGAGUUUCCUAAACUUGGGGUAGUAGGUUCGAGUCCUACACAGGGCACCA